rnacentral:rRNA from 1 species
UACGGGGGGGGCAAGCGUUGUUCGGAAUUACUGGGCGUAAAGGGCUCGUAGGUGGCCAACUAAGUCAGACGUGAAAUCCCUCAGCUUAACUGGGGAAUUGCGUCUGAUACUGGAUGGCUUGAGUUUGGGAGAGGGACGCGGAAUUCCAGGUGUAGCGGUGAAAUGCGUAGAUAUCUGGAGGAACACCGGUGGCGAAGGCGGCGUCCUGGACCAACACUGACACUGAUGAGCGAAAGCCAGGGGAGCAAACGGG